rnacentral:lncRNA from 1 species
AGCGGUGGCUUGGGGUCUCAGCAUCAGUCUAUGGAAGGGAUGGGGUAAAAACUUCAGCUUCUGGCUCUCAGUCCAACCUCUUUCUGCUGCAUCAUGAAAUUAAAUCUAAACCAAUGUCACUUCCCAGACACAGAGCUAACCAGGGCUGGCACUUCUGUGUGGACUCAAGGAAGGCAUAGUUGAGAAUUACACAAUGCACUGUCUCCCCACAACCCCCAGGUGACAUGGCUUGUCUCUUACAGAGCCAAAGGAGAACAGGAUAGUGGACGAGGAAGAAAAUUGAUUGGCUCUAGGAAGACUGCUCUGUGGCCUCUCCGGCAGUUCUAAGAAGCAAAGCCUUCCAGUCUCAAGCCCUGGAAUCCUGUGCCUUCUGCCCUAGUAGAGCCCAGUCUGCUAAUCUCCCCAGCACCUCCCCAUUUUGAUCUUGACUUGGAUGGAAAUCUGAGGAAAUCUGAGAUUAGGCUCUGAUGGCCAAAGAAUGCCUACUAUCCCCAGGGAGGGGGCACUCUACUGGACCAAGACAAGAACACAGAUUCUGUUCGUAGAAAGAGCGUGCAUCUUGUGACACAUCUCUAAGAACAAGGUAAUGAACUCAAGGACUGAGUAGUAUGGGCCUCAUAGAGGAAAACCAAGCCGUGGCAGGCAACUGUUUGGGGGUGGGGGUGGGAGACAAAUAUCCUGGUUUUCCUUGGGACUGGUGGAUUGCCCCAACUUCAGGAUUUCAGUGGCAAAAUAGGAAGCAUCCAGAUGAAUGGAGACCAGUUGGUCACCUGAGUAUUACCUCCUAAGAGCAACAAAAAUAACAAUAACUAAUUUACUAUCUGCCGGGCACUGCUGUAAGCAAGGCACCUUUCUUUGCUUUUCAAUUGACUCAUCGGUUGAAAGUCUGUAUUUAUUUCUAUUUUAUAAAUAAAGAAACUGAAGAGCAGAGAAGGCAGAUUAACUAUGGACCACAUCCAAAGUCACACAGCUGAGUGAGUGUGGACUUAACACAGAAACCCAGCUCUGUCUGUCUCCCAAAUCCAUCAUUUUACCAUUAUGAUAUCUUUUUCCUUCAAACACACAAGAAAGUAAUUAUAUACUGGAAUUAGUACUUUUGGGAUUGUUGUCUUGAACUAAGUGGCUUUGAACAAGUCCCACAUUGGCUGCUAGGCCCCAACCCCAAACUGAAAACUGGAAAGAGCCUAAACGGCUUUUUUCUCUUUUAAUCCUGGGGAUUGAACCUGGGGCCUUAAACAGACUAAGUGAGUACCAUACCACUAAGCUAUUGCCCCUCCUCUUGAGAAUUAUACUUAAUCAUUCUUAUAAAUGACAUUGGAUGCCCAGAAAUAAAAUAUCUGUGUGCCUGGAAUCAAAUGUUCAGAAGUGUAAAUAGGAGUUUACUGUCCCAUAAAGCCAGAAUUUCA